rnacentral:tRNA from 1 species
GCCGGAGUGGCGAAAUUGGUAGACGCAAGGGACUUAAAAUCCCUCGUGUGGUGACACACGUACCGGUUCGAUUCCGGUCUCCGGCA